rnacentral:lncRNA from 1 species
UUUCUGUCUCUCAGCCACAUAUUAAUCCUCAGUCAAAUGUCAACUCGUAAUCACUUAAAUACACUCACAAACAAGUAGUGCAAGCAAGAGAUUCAAUUCAAAGUACAAGCAAGUCACAACAAGACAAACAAUACAAUCACAAAGUAAUAAGACAAGCAAGCGCAAUCAAAUGCAAAUGUGCAAACAACAUGAUGCAUGUCUAUCCCUAACGCAGGCCAUGAGCUCAUGUGUCGGUUGCCUACCCGCUCCCGACAUUACCCAGGCACGAGUCCCAGAUAUGGCUUUCCAGAUGCAUCAGUGUGCUUAUAAGUUGUACGGUUAGGCCGCAUCAGUGUGACUUUCCAAAUCAAUAAGCGUACAUCUGGAAAACAGUUCUCAGUGUGUGGGCGUCCCCACUUUACAUUUGGCACUAAGGCCCAAACAAUGUCACAUCUGCUCUCCUGUGGCAGACACUUCAUUAAUUAAUAUAUUCUUUAAAUCCUUGUUCUCUGCUCUCCUGUGGCAGAGAUUCCUUUUCUUAAUAAACCGAGCUCAAAUCUUUACUUAAAACAAAAUCUCUCCUUAAAAGAUUGGGUUUAAAACAUUAUAUUUUUCUUAAUAAAUCAAACUUUAAAAUAGAGUAAAUUUUUUCUUAACUAAAUAUAUUUUAAAUAAUUUAAUUUUCUAAAACCAAAUCUUUUAAAAUAACUUUUCAAAUAAAACCUCAGAUUUUAUAAAAUUUCGGUGGCAUUUUCUCUAAAAUUCGGUCUAAACCACCCUUACGGGUUCCCUAUUCCUC